UACGUAGGGGGCAAGCGUUGUCCGGAAUUAUUGGGCGUAAAGAGCGCGUAGGCGGUCCGGUAAGUCGGCUGUGAAAGUCAAGGGCUCAACCUUGAAAGCCGGCCGAUACUGUCGGACUAGAGUCCGGAAGAGGCGAGUGGAAUUCCCGGUGUAGCGGUGAAAUGCGCAGAUAUCGGGAAGAACACCCGUGGCGAAGGCGGCUCUCUGGGACGGUACUGACGCUGAGACGCGAAAGCGUGGGGAGCGAACAGG
rnacentral:rRNA from 1 species